rnacentral:rRNA from 1 species
ACCAGACUCCUACGGGAGGCAGCAGUAGGGAAUAUUGCUCAAUGGGGGAAACCCUGAAGCAGCAACGCCGCGUGAAGGAAGAAGGCUUUCGGGUUGUAAACUUCUUUUGUCAGGGACGAAGCAAGUGACGGUACCUGACGAAUAAGCCACGGCUAACUACGUGCCAGCAGCCGCGGUAAUACGUAGGUGGCAAGCGUUAUCCGGAUUUACUGGGUGUAAAGGGCGUGUAGGCGGGGAAGCAAGUCAGAUGUGAAAACCACGGGCUCAACCUGUGGCCUGCAUUUGAAACUGUUUUUCUUGAGUGCUGGAGAGGCAAUCGGAAUUCCGUGUGUAGCGGUGAAAUGCGUAGAUAUACGGAGGAACACCAGUGGCGAAGGCGGAUUGCUGGACAGUAACUGACGCUGAGGCGCGAAAGCGUGGGGAGCAAACAGGAUUAGAUACCCGUGUA